CGGCGGUUCUAUUUUGUUGGUUUCUAGAGCCACCGUAAUGAUUAAUAGGGAUAGUCGGGGGCAUCAGUAUUCAAUUGUCAGAGGUGAAAUUCUUGGAUUUAUUGAAGACUAACUACUGCGAAAGCAUUUGCCAAGGAUGUUUUCAUUAAUCAGUGAACGAAAGUUAGGGGAUCGAAGACGAUCAGAUACCGUCGUAGUCUUAACCAUAAACUAUGCCGACUAGGGAUCGGGCGGUGUUCAACUUAUGACCCGCUCGGCACCUUACGAGAAAUCAAAGUUUUUGGGUUCUGGGGGGAGUAUGGUCGCAAGGCUGAAACUUAAAGGAAUUGACGGAAGGGCACCACCAGAUGUGGAGCCUGCGGCUUAAUUUGACUCAACACGGGGAAACUCACCAGGUCCAGACACAUUAAGGAUUGACAGAUUGAGAGCUCUUUCUUGAUUAUGUGGGUGGUGGUGCAUGGCCGUUCUUAGUUGGUGGAGUGAUUUGUCUGCUUAAUUGCGAUAACAAACGAGACCUUAACCUGCUAAAUAGCCUGGCUAGCUUUUGCUGGUCACCGGCUUCUUAGAGGGACUAUCGGCUCAAGCCGAUGGAAGUUUGAGGCAAUAACAGGUCUGUGAUGCCCUUAGAUGUUCUGGGCCGCACGCGCGCUACACUGACAGAGCCAACGAGUAUAACCCUUAGCCGAGAGGUUUAGGUAAUCUUGUUAAACUCUGUCGUGC
rnacentral:rRNA from 1 species